rnacentral:rRNA from 1 species
AUACGGAGGGUGCAAGCGUUGUUCGGAUUUAUUGGGCGUAAAGCGCAUGUAGGUGGUAUUGUAAGUCCGAUGUGAAAUCCUCGAGCUCAACUUGAGAACUGCAUUGGAUACUGCUUUACUAGAGUGUCGGAGAGGGUACUGGAAUUCCUGGUGUAGAGGUGAAAUUCGUAGAUAUCGGGAAGAACACCGGAGGCGAAGGCGGGUACCUGGACGAUAACUGACACUGAGAUGCGAAAGCGUGGGGAGCAAACAGGAUUAGAUACCCUGGUAGUCCACGCCGUAAACGAUGAGUGCUAGAUGUUGUGGGCAUUAACCCCUGCAGUAUCGCAGCUAACGCGUUAAGCACUCCGCCUGGGGAGUACGGUCACAAGGCUAAA